rnacentral:rRNA from 1 species
CAAUAGCGUAUAUUAAAGUUGUUGCAGUUAAAAAGCUCGUAGUUGGAUUUCUGGUGGGAGCGAUCGGUCUGGCGCUUAGCGCGAGUACUUGCAUCGUCUCCGGCCAUCCUUGGGGAGAGUCUGUCUGGCAUUAAGUUGUCGGGCAGAGGAUCCUCAUCGUUUACUGUGAAAAAAUUAGAGUGUUCAAAGCAGGCUUAUGCCGUUGAAUAUAUUAGCAUGGAAUAAUAAGAUAGGACUUUGGUACUAUUUUGUUGGUUUGCGCACCAAAGUAAUGAUUAAUAGGGACAGUUGGGGGUAUUCGUAUUCCGUUGUCAGAGGUGAAAUUCUUGGAUUGACGGAAGACGAACUACUGCGAAAGCAUUUACCAAGGAUGUUUUCAUUAA